rnacentral:rRNA from 1 species
CGGGGGGGGGGGGCUAUACAUGCAGUAGAACGCUGAAGAGAGGAGCUUGCUCUUCUUGGAUGAGUUGCGAACGGGUGAGUAACGCGUAGGUAACCUGCCUUGUAGCGGGGGAUAACUAUUGGAAACGAUAGCUAAUACCGCAUAACAAUGGAUGACACAUGUCAUUUAUUUGAAAGGGGCAAUUGCUCCACUACAAGAUGGACCUGCGUUGUAUUAGCUAGUAGGUGAGGUAAUGGCUCACCUAGGCGACGAUACAUAGCCGACCUGAGAGGGUGAUCGGCCACACUGGGACUGAGACACGGCCCAGACUCCUACGGGAGGCAGCAGUAGGGAAUCUUCGGCAAUGGGGGCAACCCUGACCGAGCAACGCCGCGUGAGUGAAGAAGGUUUUCGGAUCGUAAAGCUCUGUUGUAAGUCAAGAACGGGUGUGAGAGUGGAAAGUUCACACUGUGACGGUAGCUUACCAGAAAGGGACGGCUAACUACGUGCCAGCAGCCGCGGUAAUACGUAGGUCCCGAGCGUUGUCCGGAUUUAUUGGGCGUAAAGCGAGCGCAGGCGGUUUGAUAAGUCUGAAGUUAAAGGCUGUGGCUCAACCAUAGUUCGCUUUGGAAACUGUCAAACUUGAGUGCAGAAGGGGAGAGUGGAAUUCCAUGUGUAGCGGUGAAAUGCGUAGAUAUAUGGAGGAACACCGGUGGCGAAAGCGGCUCUCUGGUCUGUAACUGACGCUGAGGCUCGAAAGCGUGGGGAGCGAACAGGAUUAGAUACCCUGGUAGUCCACGCCGUAAACGAUGAGUGCUAGGUGUUGGAUCCUUUCCGGGAUUCAGUGCCGCAGCUAACGCAUUAAGCACUCCGCCUGGGGAGUACGACCGCAAGGUUGAAACUCAAAGGAAUUGACGGGGGCCCGCACAAGCGGUGGAGCAUGUGGUUUAAUUCGAAGCAACGCGAAGAACCUUACCAGGUCUUGACAUCCCGAUGCUAUUUCUAGAGAUAGAAAGUUACUUCGGUACAUCGGUGACAGGUGGUGCAUGGUUGUCGUCAGCUCGUGUCGUGAGAUGUUGGGUUAAGUCCCGCAACGAGCGCAACCCCUAUUGUUAGUUGCCAUCAUUCAGUUGGGCACUCUAGCGAGACUGCCGGUAAUAAACCGGAGGAAGGUGGGGAUGACGUCAAAUCAUCAUGCCCCUUAUGACCUGGGCUACACACGUGCUACAAUGGUUGGUACAACGAGUUGCGAGUCGGUGACGGCGAGCUAAUCUCUUAAAGCCAAUCUCAGUUCGGAUUGUAGGCUGCAACUCGCCUACAUGAAGUCGGAAUCGCUAGUAAUCGCGGAUCAGCACGCCGCGGUGAAUACGUUCCCGGGCCUUGUACACACCGCCCGUCACACCACGAGAGUUUGUAACACCCGAAGUCGGUGAGGUAACCUUUUGGAGCCAGCCGCUAAGGUGACAGAAGU